CAAGUACUCCCUCCGUCCGGAAUUACUUGUCAUCAAAAUGGAUGUGUCUAAAACUAAAAUACAUCUAGAUACAUCCAUUUCAAUGACAAGUAUUUUCGGACGGAGGGAGUACAAG
rnacentral:pre_miRNA from 1 species